GCCUGCUUGGCUCGCCAGCGCCUCCCAGCCCUGAUUGCCUGAUGCGCACAACCUGCCGCCGCGCGCCCAGGUGAAGCCGCCCGGACCUGCCGCCGCCGCCGCUCCCUUUAAUGGUGAAUAUUUGGAUUCUCUUCUUGGAUGCUUGAGAUUAUCUGGGAAGAGCUGAAAGAGAUGGAAGUGUCAAAGAAGGAGUUGAAGGAAUCAACCAGAGCCUUUGUUUUGGAAUGUGACUUACAGGAAAACAAAUUCCAUCAGCACCAACUCUACUGUCUGGAUUUAUUGUGGACUUGGGGCUGCAGAAACUGUGUGAUACCAUCUUACAGUGAGGCUUUUAAAAAUGUUGACACUUUGCAACUAGUUACCUGAUCAAUGAACUGAGGCUGUUAUUCCUAGUAUUUCUGUUAUGGACUGUAAAAUUGCAGCAGUAACAGGUUUGAUUUACUAUUUACUGAAGUUAUGAAAGAAAAUAAAAAAUGAAAGGACAGGAUGGACCUUUGGGAAUACAAGCAAUGUUUUUGAAAUCUUAGUAGAGUUGAUGUUCCUGACCCCUUUUGCUUUAAACAUUCUGUGCCAUCCUUUUCCAAAUGGGUUCCUGAAGCAUGAGGGUUGGUGACUCAUAUAAACAUCAUCUAAAGUCAAUGAGAUUUUUUGCCUCUGUCCCACUCUCACCCUGCUGGAAAAACCAGUUUUUAUUGCAUGUUGUGUGCUUGACACAAGAAGCACUAUUUUGAAAGCCUCCAGAAUCUUGGGAGAAAUAAUGUAUUAAGGAAAUAAAGUCAGGUGAUGUCCGUAGCAUACAACUAACCUGGCAGAGAAAAGCCUUGUGGAUAUGAAGAAAAAAAAAGCCUGAUGUAUUGUGUUCUACUUGGUUGUUACCUGCAAAAAUUAUUCAUUCCCAUGCUUGCAACAGAUAUGUAUUUGGACAUGAGGAUUUUUCAUAUGCCAGUGGGCAUCUGAACAGACAGAACAAUAAAAACCUACCCUCACUUACUCCAUGUAAAGUACCUCCUGGAAUCAGUGGUAUUAUAUAUACAUAUAUAUAUAUAUAUGUACAGAGAAAGAGAAAUAUCUGAGAGACAAAUCCUUCUUAAGCUUUUUGGUCCAAAAGAAAUGAAAAAUGCUUCCUUAGUUUCUUCCUCUAAAAUGUGUAGAAGUUUUUAUAUUUAUGUGAAUCAUGCUGCUAUCAGCAACACUGACUGCCCUAAUUGCACUUUCUGGACAGCUUGUACUAUAAUGAUAAUAAUUAAUCAUGGCCUGAACUCAUACAGCAUCUUUCACAUGAAGUUCUGAAACAGUUAAUUAAGCCCCACAAACUCCUCUGGAAUAAGUGGAGUCACCUUUAUUUUAUAGAUCAAAGGAUAAUAGGAAGUAGGGAUGAAAGGGACUUCAUGAGGUCUUCUAGUCCAGCCCUCUGCUCAAGGCAGGAUCAUCCCUGACUAAACUGUCUCAGUCAAGUGUCUGCCUAACCUGCUUCUGAAAAUUUCUAGGGAUGGAGAUUCCACAGUCUCUGGAGAAGAUGGAGAAGUUGAGACAGAAAGAACUGUAAGGGUUACCAUCAUGUUAAAAAUCAAACUUUUCUCUGAUAUAUUGACCUAUUAUUGUUACAGGAAACUUUUAUAAUUAUUAUAGUGAAACAGAUGGGAGAAGACUGAUUUUUCUUUUCUUUUUUGGUACACUUUGUACUAAUGAUAACGCUUCAAGUGUUGUUCUGGUUCUAUUGAAGGCCGUGGGGCUAGGGACAGAAGUUACACAUAAACUGGUUUGAGUGAUCAGAAACGGGUUUAAACCUGUAACAGAACAGAAUGGCUGAAACUGGUUUAAGAUAAACCUGGUUAAAUGUAGUAUCAGACUGAACUGAUUUGGGUCAAACCAGUUUAUAAAACUUCUGUUCCAGACCCCUUCCUGGUUCAAAUUAAAUCAUAGUCCCCUAGCAUCCCAGCAUGCUUUCCAGCUCUGGGUUGGGGUGUGCUGUCUGCUCCAGAGAGCAGUGCUGGCCCUGCCCCUCUGCUCCCUAGCUGUAGCAGUGAGGGAUAGCUGACAACAGGGGGUGUGGGGCACAAGCCUGGCGGGGGAUGCAGCCCAGUCUAUGGCGGGGGGUGCCCCCCCUCCGGCAAAACUUGCUGAGGUCUGAGGCCAAGGAAUGGGGGUUAAACACCCCUUUCCCUGCUCAAACUUACUGCUGGCUGCAACUGUGAACUACAAGUCCUAGAGGCACCUGGAAGCAGGAAGAGGAAGUAAUAAGCAACCCUGCAGAGUCCUGUUACUGUAAUUCUGGACUGCAAAUCCCAGAAACCUCAGGGGCAGCAGGAAGAGGAAGUGAACACAGCCAGAGAGCCCGGCUCUAGUGUCCCUUGGCUUCUGGCCUGAGCCACUGCAGGCAUAUGGCUGCAUUUCCUGAAUCAAAGUACACUGAAUGAAGUUUUAGAGCAAAUUGUUAAAAAAACAGUAACAAAUUACCAGGACCAGAUGGAUUUCACCCAAGGAUUCAGAAGGAACUCAAAUAUGAAACUGCAGAACUGUUAACAAAAAUACGCAGCCUGUCACUCAAAUGAUGUCGGAGGACUGGACGAGAGACAAUGUAACACCAUUCUUUAAAAAAGACUCCAGACGUGUUCCAAGGAACUGCAGAUCGCUCUUUUGCUUUCACAGUGGCUAAAAGACCCAGGGUCUGUUAAAGCAGUUGGCUCUCAGAAGGGCUGCAUAGUUCUCCAUUUCUGAUAUGCUCCAUCAAUACCCAGCCUCAGAUUCAGCUCCCUGCAAUGACUUGGAAGUAAGCCCAUGCAGAGAGUUAAGAGGGAGUAUAAAACCAUCCAGGGGAGGAAUUCAGAGAGUUUUAAUUGCAGCCAUUGGGAUGAGAAGAGCGGAGUAGCUUUCAGGCAAGUGCUCCAAGGUUGAAGGCUACCUUGGGAAUUUUCUCCCAAGAGGAGCUAUCCUGGUGAAAGGGAUGCCUAACCAAUAAUGAUGUAUGUCAGAGAGAAUCCCACUACCCAGUCCUCCAAAACACAUACACAGCACUUGGCGAUCUCAUGUCUUUGGAGAAAAGGUUGCUCUGUCAAGGCAGCAUUAGACAAAUAAUUGACAGCAGAUGCUCAAAAAAGCCAAUCAUCCACACCUCUAAUUGCCUACACAGUAUUCUUAGGCUAGGAACAAAUGUAGUAUAUAUUUGGUCCUUGGUCAGUUGUGCCUGUGUUUGUCCCAGAACAAGUAUCCCAGGAUUGACAUGUAUACACAUCGACCUUCCAAUCAGGAUUUAGUGAAUGCCUAAAUGCCACUUUUCUGCCAUUGAUUCAAUGAUGUAAUCCUGGGGUAAUGGUUCAAAUGCAAUUUGUGAUGUCCUGGGAUAAACUGUUAGUAUUUCUUAUUGCUUGAGCCUUUUUAGGAUUUUUUCUAGGACAACGGACACGGAUGUCUGACUGUUGCACUUCAUCUCAGGCUGAAGUGGUUUAUCCCAGGAUAGACGUGACAUGUUUGCAGGCUCAGAAUUACAUUAUAGUGGUCCCAUUAAUAAUCAUUAGGUAAGAUAACAAAUAAAACACUACCAGCAGAGCAAGCACUUGUUCAUCCAACUACCACAUCUACAACAGUUCCUCCAAUCCUGUCUUUGUUGGUAAGUAGUAAUUACCACCAAAAAAAUGCACACAGUGCAUUUUACAUCAUCAGAACCUGUUUCCCUUCCCAUUCUCUGAUACCUUCUCAAUGCAUCAGAUUAUUAGUAUACUUCUGUUCUCUGCAGGCACUCCCCAAAUGACUCUGCUCUUCCAUUUCCUCUGCCAUGUUCUGUGGUGGCUCCCUUUCCUCCUUGCUUUUCUUUUUCUUUCUUUCCCUGAAAUGCCUUCAGUUCCCACUCUAUCUGCAACUUCUACUUCAAAAUGCUACUGUUGCACAGAAAUGAAACUUGCCCAGCAACUGUUAUCAGGGACAGAAAAACUGAGGAACAAACUCAUGUGAUGGUAAAUACAUCCUGACGGGGGGAGGAAGACAACAACAAAGGUUUUGUGCAAUACAGAGCUUCCAAAUGUGAGUUAUCUGAAACAGCUGCAAAUCAAUGGCUGAACUGCACACUGGGACUAGAAAGAAAGGGUAGAGAUGACAUCCAUUAUCAUAAUGUCUGAAAGCAAUAGGCUUCUUGUAGUUUCUAGGUACUUUGUUAUAUUUAUUUACCAUCAAGGGUUUUUCUUCUUAAUGCAUACCCUUAUCUCAUUUACAGAGGUUAGAGAAUUAAGAAUAAGCCAUGACUUGAAGUAAAGUGAUUUGUCCUGUUUUGUAGGUGAGCUCAGAGACAGUAGAAUAGGCCACUUUGUGAUAAAUUAGAAAAUACAUUAAAUCAUUUUUCAGAAGAAGUCCCCAUUGCAAUGUUUAGUGAUGUGUGCAUGGGACCAAUAUGCUAGACUCUAGAAAUGUCAAAGGAUCUUCCUAAAUUUCACUUGCCACACACCAGACACUCAGACUUGUUCACUGCAUGCAUAAUGUACUGCAUGCAUUUUUCAUUGUGUGGAUUAAGGUGAUUUUUGUCCAUGCAGAUUCAAUCCUAUGCACACCAUUUUCCCCAAUUUUUUAUCUCAGAUUGCUGGCAAUCUCAAUGUACUUUGGUACCCUUGUAGCUUUUUAUAUUCACACUCAUACUUUUGGGCAUAGCCCUCAAUACAGAACCUUAAAGAGCCUCCCCAGACUCACUGGUGUACAAAAGGGCUGUGCAGGCUGCCCCACUCCUGUGAUGAGUUGGGCCAUUGCUUUGCCUCCUAAACUGUUUGGCCAUGUCCAGAUAAGCACGGCCAUGUGGUGUGUGGUACAGUAGACUUGUCUGCGGCGCCACAUAGCACACAUUCAGCUGUUCUCCGUGCUGCAAGGGAGCAGCGUGGUGGUGGUGGUGGGGGUUAACUCCUUGAUAUCCAGGAGUCAAGAAAACCUGCACAAAAAUAAAAGUGGAAUGGCACAUGCAGGGGCAGUAUGCACCACUCAGAACCAGAGCCUUGGCUGGCUGGAGCCAUACUUCAUCUGUCAGCCAGGCUACAAGUGACAGGACCACCACUGCUGCAGCCUGAGGAGGCCCCCAGGGCCCUAUGUAAGCCUGCUGGGGACAACCCAGUGCUGGCCCCAGCCUCCCUUACCCCACUUGGGAUAACAUGCCACAUGCCAGAGGGUACAUGGCACAGGCAUUCCCUGGGGAAAACUAGCAGCGGUACAAGGUGUCUUGCUGCUAGUUGUCCCUGGGGAACCAACUGUCCACACUCCUGUGGAUGUAGCCUUUGGGGGUGUUUUGGGGGUCCUAGAAGGGAGCAUCCCUGUACCUCGCUGAGUUCAGACUAGCAUUGGUGCAGAGCAUACAUGGCCUGGGAUGGGCUAAAAUCCCAACACAUGGGAAUCCCAACACAGGGAUACAGCCUCUGAAUCAGAACUCCAUAGACCUUAGAUGCUGAAGGGUGCAAGUGAGAGAGGAACAGUGGAAAGAACCUUGGUCAUACCCUAUUCCACUCUGCCACAGUUUACUGGGCAAGAUAGACCUCUUGUCUGACCCAGUAAAUAGCAGUUCUUAUUUUCUUAUGAUCUUAAUAUAUCAACAUAUCCAAACACAGAUUGUACUUCACUCCGUCAGAUACAUCAAGCAUUUUUAUUAUGAAGUGACCAAAUCCAGAACCAGGUGCCACCCAAAAACUUUUGCCCAUCGGCCAUUGAUAGAAAUUGGCUACCUGUCUUCUGAUUCUCUCCAAAUUCCUUAGUAGCCAAUUCUGGUCUUGGUAACACCAGUAUCACUCAGAAUAGAAUUUGUCCUACAGAAAGGCCACUCUGCCUUCAAGAACUUGGGAAUUACUGGGCAAGAUCAUUAAAGGGUGCAUCUACAUGAGAAAUUUACCCUACAGUUGACUAAUUAACUGCGCAGUAAAUGUAUUGGCAUCUACAUAUGCGGCUGUAUUAGGAUACAUGAAACUAAUAAACUCUGCAGAGGGUAGGACUUGUAAAUACAAGCCCUACCCUUGCUGCAGAGUUUUUUGUGUGUGCAGCUACGCACAUGUAGAUGCUGACUGGCUGGCUGUGGCAUAAGGGUGCUUCAGUGCCAGGGCUGCCUGCUGGCUGGCCCUACACUGAAACACGCUCAUGCCACAGCCAGUCCCACUGCAGCACAUUGAGUCUGGUUGGAGCAACCCCAGGAUGGCAGGCUGACUCGUGGGGCCCUGCCAGUCAAGGCAGCUACGACUGGCCUCCAUGCGCCACGCAUGAAUAAACUGGAGCUAAUUGCUCUGGAGUUAUUUUCUCUCAAGCACAUGUUUAAACGGUGUGCCUAGGAGCAAAAACAUUCUGGAGCAAUGACCUCUGGAAUUUAUUCAUGUGCACUAAUUACAUGUGUAGACACACCUGGCAUGCGCUGGACUAAGCAACAGUCCCUGCAUAUGCAUCCUGGCACAGAUUGUGGGAAAAGAAGCUGUGUAUCAGCUGCUGUUGGCCCAGAUACAGACACCCACUAUUGCUGUCCUUUCUCAUAAACUCUUUCUCUGCUUUGAACACAAGUUCAUGCAGUUCUAGAAACUGGAACUUUAACUACAAAAUUUGGCAAGUGAUUAUAAUGUACUUCAAUGGUUUUUUUAAUAUGUCAGAGGGAAGCAGUCGCCAAGUUUUUCCUUUUUUUUGUUUGUUAUUUUACCCAUAAUCCCAAGAGCCAUAUACAUCAUUGCAGUGAGAGCUUGAUAUUGCCUGUCUCACCUAAAUGAGGAAUUACAUUACAACCUUCUCUUUUCACUUCAAACAUUUUUCACAAAUUCUCCCUCCUGUGUGGACUAUUUCAUGUGUGGUGGCUGCCCCAAGGGGAAUUUGUUUUUCUAAAAAUAAUAAUCAAAACUUCAACGUGUGGGGUUGCUAGUUUUGGAAUUAAUUUUUCAAGGCUUUCAUGUCUGUAGAUCUGCUAUGCAGAAGCAAAUGGAUGUUACUUAUACUCACCAGCCUUCAACUAGUUCAGGGUUUCCAAGAGAAAAAUGUUGUUCAUGAAGUGACUAAAAAAUUAUUUAUUUAUUUGUUUAUUUGAUUUUUUUUUUUUAAUGCCACUCUCCCCAAAUAUGUUCAGCUAAGAACACAGCAUGCAACAUAGAUGCAAAAAAGCAGAGACCCUUAAUAUUUUUUUUACACUAUGGAUGUACUAGAUGAGAGGGAUACUAUAUACCUAAGUCUGUGCGGAAUGAAGGCACCUGCACCAAUGACUUUAAACUUUGGGUUUUUAGACUAUUAAUAUAGAUGGCCUGAAAACCCAACAUGUUCAUACUGGCUACAGACUGAAAGAUUUUCCUGAACAUCUUGAUCUUUUUAAAAGUACCAGAAAACUGCAGUACUGUCCUUCAGUCCAAGAAUGAAUCAUGCCUGCCUGUAUCCAAUCAAAGAAGUAUGAUCCCCACAGCUUCAGAAGCUACUAACUGUCUUAGUCCUGUUAGCAGUUAGAGAACAGCUCUGCUAAUCUGAUCACCAGCCUCCCUGUACCAAAACCUUGCCCCACUCCACUUUCCAAAAUGCAUCUGGUGUGUUUUCUCAGGGUGUGUACACAGAGUGGGAUAUAGGAGAUGGCCUUCUCUCAGCAGUGAUGGUCUCUAAGAUGUUUGGGUAAAAUCAGAGCUGGUUGCAGAUUGAUAUAUAUGAUUCUUGAAGGAAGAGUAGGACUGCUCCCAAGCUACUGACCUUAUUUGGUUAAGGAAGCCAUUGAUUUUAUGGCUUGGUUACAACCAUAGGAGGCUACUGACAACAAAACAGUUGUUUUUUUUCAAACUCUUAUCUAAUGAAGCAACUGCACUCUUCCUGCUCUGGUCUCCUAAUAUUCCUACCUGAAUCAGACAACCCUCUGCAAGUGUUCAGCACUAGGGGCAGAAAAUUAUUAACUUGUUAAAAAGCUGAAAGAGAGUCAUCAAAAUGGUUGGUCAAGAGUGAAAAUAUAAGAACAGUAUUUACAUGGGCCAUUAGCCAUAGGUCAUUAGAUCUUUGCAGAUUCAUAUUUUUCAUGGAUGUGCUGUAUCUAAAUACUCUGGGCUCGUCAGGCCUACCUCUGUAGUGAAAGAAGUUGUAGUUUAGAGAUGCUCCCUAACAGGAGAUUGAGGGAUUUGGCAGUAGUCCCUCAGGGACCACCUAGGUCCUAGUUAGUCAGUUAGUAAGAGAAACUAAAUUUCUGCAGAAGGUCAUCUAGUACUCUGCAAUAAAGCUUGUUAAUUCUU